CCCUUAGAUGUUCUGGGCUGCACGCGCGCUACACUGAUGCGUUCAACGAGUUUACGACCUUGCCAGACAUGGCUGGGUAAUCUUCUUAAACUGCAUCGUGAUGGGGAUAGAUUAUUGCAAUUAUUGAUCUUCAACGAGGAAUUCCUAGUAAGCGCGAGUCAUCAGCUCGUGCUGAUUACGUCCCUGCCCUUUGUACACACCGCCCGUCGCUCCUACCGAUUGAAUGAUUUAGUGAGGACUUCGGACUGGGACCGAUGCGGCUUUCGGGCUGCGUCGGUAUUCUGGAAAGAUGUCCAAACUGUAUCAUUUAGAGGAAGUAAAAGUCGUAACA
rnacentral:rRNA from 1 species